UAGUAGAUGCACCCUGAUUAAAUAACUCCCGACCAAUUUUGGUGGGGUUUUUUUU
rnacentral:sRNA from 1 species